rnacentral:lncRNA from 1 species
CUGCCAACCCGGAAGGAGCCCGGAGGGGCCCGGGCGGCCAGGGCGCCCCCGCCAGGAGGCCCGCCAGGUGUCCACCUGAGCCCCACGCCCUGCGCCGCGGGGCCCUUUUGGGGGCGGGGUGCCAGCUCCGAGGUGUCCUCCCACGGGCUGUAGACUGGGAAACUGAGGCCCGGGCCACGGUCCCAGACGCAGCCGGGACCCGAACCCACCUCACCUGAGCGAAUGAUAUCCGGGACUCAUCCUUUUUCGACACCUUUGCGGGAUCCAGCCCUCCAAGGAAAGCUUCCUGAGCAGUGCGCGCCACGUGUAUUGGGCACCUCACCGCGGCCACUUCACAUCCUAUCUCAGGUGGAGAAACUAAGCCACAGAAAGGAGCUGUCAUUUACCUAAAGCACCGUGGCAGGGGUUUGGCAGAGCCAGGAUUUGUACCCAGAUCGCCUGACUUCGGAGAGUAACAGCUCUUAACCACAGCACUUCGGUCUAUGCCUUGAUUUCACCAUAUGUAACAAGCAGCUGUGCCACUUUGCAUUCCCACCAGCAGCACGCAAGCGUUCGAAUUUCUCCGCACGCUCCCCAACAGGACAAGAGCUUGCCGUGUUGCCCCAGGCUGGUCUCAAACUCCUAGCCUCAAGCAAACUUCCUGUCUCGGCCUUUCAAAACCCUGAGAUUACAAGCAUAAGAAAAGAAAAUCUUGUAAGAUGAAAGCUGAAGGAUGAGAGCAAUUAAUUGAUGAAGUAUGAUGAUCCAGGUGUCCCUGGGUGAAGAAACAACCUCUACAAAGGCCCUGAGGGUCUCGCUCAUCACCAGGCUGGAGUACAGUGACAUGAUCA